GGCGGCAUGCCUUACACAUGCAAGUCGAACGGCAGCAUGGAAGAGCUUGCUCUUCUGAUGGCGAGUGGCGAACGGGUGAGUAAAGCAUCGGAACGUACCGUGUAGGUGGGGGAUAACGUAGCGAAAGUUACGCUAAUACCGCAUACGCACUGAGGUGGAAAGCAGGGGAUCGCAAGACCUUGCGCUAUACGAGCGGCCGAUGUCAGAUUAGCUAGUUGGUAGGGUAAAGGCCUACCAAGGCGACGAUCUGUAGCGGGUCUGAGAGGAUGAUCCGCCACACUGGGACUGAGACACGGCCCAGACUCCUACGGGAGGCAGCAGUGGGGAAUUUUGGACAAUGGGCGAAAGCCUGAUCCAGCCAUGCCGCGUGAGUGAAGAAGGCCUUCGGGUUGUAAAGCUCUUUCGGCUGGGAAGAAAUCGCACAGGCUAAUACUCUGUGUGGAUGACGGUACCAGCACAAGAAGCACCGGCUAACUACGUG
rnacentral:rRNA from 1 species